GUGCCAAGCGACGAUACAAAAACCAGAAGUUUGGUUUUGGUGGAAAGAAGAAAGGCUCCAAGUGGAACACUCGUGAGAGCCAUGAUGAUGUAUCCAGCUUCCGGGCCAAGACAGCCCAUGCCAAGGGCCCCAAGAGGCCUGGAAAGAAAGGAGCAAAUAAGAGACCUGGAAAACGAACGAGAGAGAAGAUGAAGAGCAGAACCCGCUGAACAGCCUCUUUAUACAAAGAACAAAGCAAAAGGCAUGAAGCCUUGGAAUUUCAAAGUACAUUGGUUUCUUUUUGUU